AUGGAUCUGAGAACGCUGUCUGGGCUUGGUACCAAGAGCUGGUAUUUCACAGCAGCGACCGCCUCACAGACGAGCUGUGGGAAGCAGGAGGGAGACUCUCUCUUAGGGUGCCACUACUAUGGAGACACAGCUGGGCUGAACAAGAUUUGCUUCAAACGACAACAAGAGAGACAGAAAGUAUCUGGUUCAACCGCUGCCCGAGCAGGCAGGCACCAGAAGAGCUAGCAGCCAAUCCGGCCAUGCUCGAAGCCAGCUCUGCAGCUCAGCCAAUCAGUGACAUCAUUGCUUUCUUUAGCUUGCCCAUGGUGAUGUGAAGAUGAGAAGAAAUAGCAAGGCCCAACCAGUUCUUCAUCUGGAGACAGUUCAACGUUCUGCAAACCAGAUCUUCAGGAAUUUUACUGGGAUAAUUAUCCAAAUAAAUUGCAAGCAUUCUAUCCAAAUGGAGCUCUUUCUGAGAUGAAGAGAAUUCUCAAUGUCAAGAUUUGAACAAGAAGAGAAUGGAAUACACAAUAUGGACAUCCAUAAAAAUUCAUCAGAGAGCAUUUUACUACUGAGCUGCAAAGAUGACAAGAGCACCUCAAAGGCAGCAGCCUCAAGGAGCAGCCAUGGCCCCAGACUUGUCGCACGGAUGCAGAAAACUUAAUGGAGGAGGCUGAGGUCAGAAUGGGAAGAGUUUUUAAAAAAUAAAAAGGGGAGCUAAUAUGUGAGGAACUGAUUGCUGUGCAUUAUUUUCCACUGAACAGACCUUCUUUUAACUUCUAAUCUCAAGCACAUAGCAGCUGUUGUUUUCAUAUUAAAGAUCAGUAAGUGUUUGUUGAAUGAAUGUAUAAAUUCUUCCCCAAUCUCUGUUCCAUGUAAUAAGAACUAAGUUAGCAUUCAAUUAUAAAGAGGACUUAGAAAGUCUGCAGACAUUUUUGAUCAAAAAUCCUUUUAACUGUCUUCUUAUGGUUCCCGGUAACACCUAAGCCCAAAAAACUCAGGUCAUUUCUUGCCUGUACUGUUGCAAUAGCCUCAUAAUAACUAGUCUUCUCCUUUAUCAACCACAGUCGUCUCCGCUACACAAAGAAGAGAGGGUGCUAAUCUAAAGUGUAAAUUAUUUUAAAUCAGCACCCUUCUUGUAAUUUCCCAGUGGUUUUUCCUGUCAUAAGAAUAACAUGCAAAAUUCCUUGCUUGCAAAGCCAGGUAUGACCUUGCCCCGUCUACCUUACUGGCAUCGUCUCUCAUGACUCUUCCCCUUUUUCACUCUCCAUCUUGCCUUUUCCCAACCAUGCCUGCUAGUGAGCCUUAGCCCUUGUGUUUUCUCUGCCAGGGAUGCAUGACUGGCUUCUUUACUUUAUUCUGAUCUCUCUGCUCAAAUGUCAUCUUUUUAGAGAUAGCUUUCCUAAACAUCUUUAAAAGUACCCCAUGAACUGUGAAACACCUUUCCUGCUUUUUCUUCAUAGUACUUAUCACUUCCUGAUAUUAUGUUAGACAACAAGCAAAUAAGUAUAUGCUGUUCCCACUAAAAUAUAAGCUCCAUUUGAACAGGAGCCUUGAUUAUUCCUGAGUAUACCCCUAGUGCCCAGAACCUAGUAGGGCUUUAAUAAAUAUUAGAUUCAUUUGUUGAAUGAAAAAAUGAAUGAAUAAUUGAAUAAAGAUAUCCAGGUAGAGUGUCCGGGCAGCCCAACCUAUGUGAAGCCAGUACAAGAAUGUUUCUGUGACAUAGUGAGCGCAAUUAUUCCUCUAAAUGAUGAACUUGCAUGAGUACACAAGGAUAAAAUUAAGCACGUAGUUUAGAUUUCUGCAAGUCUCUUCCUCAGAUUGAGGAAAAACAAAGAAAUUGAGCUUAUUCUCACCUCAUUCUUACAUGAACUAAAUCCAGAAUAAAGCAUCAUUUAAAUACCAAGCACAUCCCUACCUCAGCCACUCAUGGAAUACUUUAUCUGUAAAGGGACAGAUAGAUAGUAAAUAUUUUUGGCUUUGGGGACCGUACAGUCUGUGUCGCCACUACUCAGCACUUCUGUUGAGGUGUGGAAUCAGCCCUAGACAACACAUAAACAAAUGGGUGUGGCUGUGUUCCAAUAAAAUGUUAUUUAUAAAACUAGGAAAUCAGCAGAUUUAGUCCACAGGCUGUAGUUUGCUGACCCUUGAAUUAGAGAGUCUUCCCCAAAUCCUCUUCCCAAGUUAUUGAAAGAAUGCCCAUAGGACCAUAGCUCCCUCACCUGGUUCUUUCAAGAAAUGAGACAAAUUCAGGGAUGGUUGGAGGGUGGAACGCCUACCUGUGACAUGACUAUUGAGCCUGAUUUCUUUCCUUUUAUCUCUUUAAAGUGAGUCAGGUCUUAACUUUAAACUGUCUCUAAAGUGGCAAUAACUGGGCCAUGUCAAAUACUCCCAAUGACAAAAUUUCUUCUUGGAGAAUGAAUGAGGGUUGCAUACAGUGGUGUGUUGGUAAAUGUUUAGCAACUGGCUCUCUUACUGAUUUCUGUAGUGUAAAUUCUCCCAUCCUGGCCAUCUGAAACUACCAAUAUGAUGUCACUUGAUGUAGAGUUGGGAAAAGACAGUCUCUUGAAUAAGUAUGAGCUGGUUCCAGCCCACUGCUGAACACAUAUUUAAAAGCUACAAUAGCUCUGCUCACUGCCAUUGCAGAGUCUGGAGGAAAGAGUAGCAGGCUUGAUAGGAGCAAUUGGCUGAAUAAUCUUUUGCAAUGCCAAUAAAUAAUGAAAAAGUAUAUAAAUAUAACGCUGUAUAGAAAGCUCUCAAGUUCAGUGUUUGGUUAAAAUACAUACUCAGUAAAUGGUAGCUAUUAUUGUCUUAGUUUAAGUUAUUGCAAGCAUUAAAAUUAAAUGUUUAGCUACAGACUCAAUCCAGUUUUAAUGUCAUUGUGUUAAUAAGGCCUCUUAACAUUGAAGCAACAAAGAUAAAGGAAUUUUUUUGUAGCUAUUCACGAUUCUGCCCAGCUCAAGGUAAAGAUAGCAACAAAAUACUCCAACCAGAAUAAAAGAAGUCUCCACUUGACUGCAGCUCUUCGCAACACUUCACAAGGGUCAAGCUGUGUUAGUUUCCUUCAGUGUUAAACAGAAUGCAUCUUAAGAGAAUAGUUCAAUUAUUGAUUGAAUAGUAGGUUCAAGUUGACUAUAAUCCCAACUAAUACACUCUAAGACCAGGGAUGGGCCGACAGAAGGGUAAAGUUUUCCACUCAAGUCUCGAGGCAAACACUCAGAUAGAAGUAGUAAUAUGGAUGCCUUCUAUUAUUUGGUCACAUACAAUACUGUUCCAGCCCAGUUGUGCAAAACUGGUGAAAUAAAAGGCAAAAAUAUUGACAACAGUUUGGGUAACUGGAUUCCAAAAUGGGCAUCCAUCUAAGAG
rnacentral:lncRNA from 10 species